rnacentral:rRNA from 1 species
UACGGAGGGUGCAAGCGUUGUUCGGAAUUACUGGGCGUAAAGCGCGCGUAGGCGGUCAACUAAGUCGGACGUGAAAUCCCUCGGCUUAACCGGGGAACUGCGUCCGAUACUGGAUGACUUGAGUUCGGGAGAGGGAUGCGGAAUUCCAGGUGUAGCGGUGAAAUGCGUAGAUAUCUGGAGGAACACCGGUGGCGAAGGCGGCAUCCUGGACCGACACUGACGCUGAGGAGCGAAAGCCAGGGGAGCAAACGGG